rnacentral:rRNA from 1 species
UACGGAGGAUCCAAGCGUUAUCCGGAUUCCUUGGGUUUAAAGGGUGCUUAGGCGGAAUGAUAAGUCAGUGGUGAAAUCCUGCAGCUUAACUGCAGAACUGCCAUUGAUACUGUCAAUCUUGAGUACAUUUGAUGUGGGCGGAAUGUGUCAUGUAGCGGUGAAAUGCUUAGAUAUGACACAGAACACCGAUUGCGAAGGCAGCUCACAAAACUGUAACUGACGCUGAGGCACGAAAGCGUGGGUAUCAAACAGG